rnacentral:lncRNA from 1 species
UCUAAAUAUUUGUCGCUCAAACCUCUACAAAGAUAUACGGACAUCGAGUCCUGUGAUGAAUGAGUCCUCUGUGUCCCCUCAGACUAUGGUUGAUCAGCUGGAACCUUAUGUGGAAUAUUUCUUUCUGCCCAUUGCCUUGAAUCCACCCUGAUCUCCCUAGCUACCAUACUGGCUGGUCGUGGAGGGUACCCCGACUCAUCAAGCUUUGAUUUUUGCUGCUGACCUGCAGA